UACAGAGGGUGCGAGCGUAAUCGGAAUUACUGGGCGUAAAGCGUGCGUAGACGGUUAUUUAAGUCAGGUGUGAAAGCCCCGGGCUCAACCUGGGAAUUGCAUUUGAGACUGAAUAGCUAGGGUGCGGAAGAGGGAAGCGGAAUUUCCGGUGUAGCGGUGAAAUGCGUAGAUAUCGGAAGGAACACCAGUGGCGAAAGCGGCUUCCUGGUCCAGCACCGACGUUCAGGCACGAAAGCGUGGGGAGCAAACAGG
rnacentral:rRNA from 1 species